GUUCUCUCACUUCUUGAUCUGCUUAUAAGUGUUUACCCAUUUAUUGAUUUACUUGCCUCAUGUAUUGGAUUGGACUUGGCCCAUUUUUAUACAUAAUGUUACCUAUAUAUUACUGCCUUCUUUGGUCUUGAUAUUAAGUGUGUUUUGCCCUCCUAGAUUGUGAAGAAAACGACUUCUCUCUUUUCUCUUCUUCAUCCUCCACCGGUUGCCUUUCUUCUUCCUUGCCUUUGUGGUUGCAAAACCCCUUCCCUGUUGUGUCCUAAGUGGGUACAAUCAAAAGAAAACGAAGUGUUAAAUGGCUGAAGGUUUUGGGUGUUUGAUUCGGUUUAAAUGUAUAGCUGAGCUCGAAAAUACAUCUUGGGGGCAAUCCUUCCAUAACAAAUGAUAUCAGAGCCACAAGAAAGUGGAUUUUUGCUCUACAUCAAUUUAAAAUCCAUUCAAAAUCGACAGAAAUCCAAAAAGAAAGAAACUGUCCAAAAAUCCCUAAAAAUUGAACCUUUAAACUACGAUUCCGGCCAAACCACAAACCUUUUGGACAAAUGGAGGCCGAAGUCUUGUUGUACAGGUGGAGGCACAUCCGAGUGUGGUAUACCUAACAACGAUGAUGACACUGUAUGGAAACUUCAAUAGUGGAACUGGCGACGCGUCCGUCUAUUUCUAGAGGAGCUUUCUUCAGGUAGAAUUUUUCUAAUGUGAUUUCUAAUGAUUUGGUGUUAUUUUUUUAUUUUUUUUUAGGUUAUAUGGCAAAUCUAGACUAUUUUGCCGCUAGACGUUUAGUUUUGCAAUUAUCGUUUGAUCGUGCUACUGCAUUUGUUGAAACUUUAGGAUGAACAGUAAUAGUCCUAAAGUAGCAAAUUCGCAUCUCUUGAUAUUAAUGGAUCAUCAGAGGUGGUCUGCUGGUAAAUUGGUUUAUUCUGUUUAAAUUUCAACAAGUAGCAAGUCAUUUGUAAGGAUGACAUUAGGAUUGGGGUUACCGUGUGAGAUAACCAUUGUUUAUGCUAGAUUUUAGGAAUUACUUGCUCUAAAUUGUUACUUAUUUGAAGUGUUGGAUUUAAUUGCAAGUUUAUAAUUGUUUUCGUGUUUAAUUGUCAUUAAAUCACUAUGUGAGACUGCAUUGUGUGAAAAACUAAAUUUUGUUGAUAUAUAUAUUCGUGUUGCAUUGAUUAUUCUAUUAGAACACUUGAACUUAAUUCGUUUAACAAUUCCCUUAAUAUUGAGAUUUCAAAUCUCAUGAAAUUCUGGAAAUCUAGAAUGGUGUAUAGUGUAGUAUUAGGAUAAUUUUGUGUGACCAAAUUGCGCAUUUUUGGUCGUUCCAUUUUUCAAAAUAUCUCCAUAUUUUGAAGUAGGAAUUUUCAAAGGAAAAGGAAAAAUUUUAAUUUGGCAACAAAAGAUGAAUGUAAUUUUUGUUCAAUAAAAAGUUUCGAAAGCCAUAAAUGGCAAAUUUCUUGCAAAUUUGACAGAAUUACAAAAAGAAGAAUAUAAUGAUCUUACUUACACUUCAAUUAUUUUACAUAUAUCUGAUGUUUAUAAAACUUGAUACUACAAAAAGAACUUUGGAAAAAAAUUGGAGGACUUAUAUUUGUUUAAAUCUACUUCUAACAAGUUUUGUUUGAAAGAUUUUUCAGUGUUAAAAUGGAUCAUUCAAAGGAUUUUAAUGACAAUUUGGAUGUUUUUAACAAGUUUGUUCAAGAUAUUGUUAAUUGUGAUGAAAAAGUAUCUGAAACCUAUAAGGCCAUAAUUUUGCUUAAUUAUAGGCCUGAUUUAUAUAGGAAUGUUAAGAAUGCAAUUCAGUAUGGUAGGAACACCUUAACACAUGAGAUUGUCAAAUAUUCACUUAACAGUAAGGAGAUAGAGCUUAAGGCUUAAAAAGAUGAUAAGAGGAGUGGUGAUGUAUAUAUGAUGAGGAGUAGAAUGAAGUUUAAGCAAAUGAGUCUUGGUAGAGCUUAAGACAGUCGUGACUCGAGUGAUGUAGGUGGUAAGAAGAAGGGUAAGGGUCAGGACAAGUCCAAUGACAGACAGUUUUACAGUUACGGUAAGGCUAGAUACUUUGUUAAAGACUAUCCUAAGAAGAAGGAUAAACAAAAGGGUAAGAUGAGGGGUGAAACGAAUAUAGCUAUAUGGUCGAAUGAUGACCCUAGUGAGGUAUAUUGAUAAUAAACCUAGAGAUGUAAACGAGCCGAGUUAAGCCAACUCGCGAGCUGAAAAUCGAGGCUCAGGCUUGGCUCGAGCUUUUUAGAUCGUGAUUUUUUGGCUCGAAAGGAUCGACUCGAGCCGACUUGAUUUUUAUUUUCAUGCCAGCUCUAUUGCCUUUGUAAAAGAUAGCAGCCAUGCUGCCUUUACAAUUUAUUUUCUAUUUUUAUUUUCGAGUUGGCCCGUGAGCCACAUGUACCGGCUUGAGCUCAGCCUGUCACCCCAAGAUGGGGCUUGGUGAAAUCGGGCCGACUCGAGCUUUUUAUGGGUUUGGGUCACGAACGGUCCGAGCCCACAAGCCAUUUUACCAUCCCUAAGUAAAUCUAGUUACUGCAUGUGCAUCUGUGUGUAAUCGUUUCUGCAUGUGUGUGAUUAUUUAAUUCUAUUUCUUGGUUAUAUGUUGUCUUUCAAUAUGUUUGGCAUGUGCAUUUGCAUGAAUUUGAGAGCAAUUUUAUUACUUGGUGUAAUUGUUUAUCUGCAUAGUGGGUUGUGAUGUAUUAACAGUAGGUGUGUUGUUCGUCCAUUGGUUAUGUGGAGUUUAGAUGCCUAGGGGUGCAUUGGUUAUAUGCAUUGGAGAUGUAGAGUGUGAUAUUUGGAUCAUGAGUGGGGAUGUGAGUAAAUGUCUAGAGUUCUUUAUCUAUGAAGAUCUUGUACAGCACGAGACUGACACUUAUAUUACUUCUGGUAAGUAGAGAACCAUUAUCCAUUUAGGUCGAGAGAAGUGAGGUGGUGAUAGAGAAUUAUCUUGUGGACUUAAGAUCUAUUGGGAUUUACCAGUUAGACAUGAGGUUAGUAAUCAACCUAGUAAUCAUGGUGGGCGAUGAGAGUAAAUAUGUGUUUUCGAAGUUUAAGUAAACAUGUAAUGUGAUAGGAUAAGUGAGGUGAGAUCUUUUCGUGGGGUAAGUUAUACACUUAUUGCAUCUGUGUUGGCCGUUUGAUUGACUAAUUUGGUGUUAGUAUAUUGUUUUGUAUGAACAUAUUUUAAAAAAAUGUAUGUGUUAUCCUAUGUUAUAUCUUUAUUGCAUGUUUAUAUGAUCUUGAUUGAUUACUGCGAUUACUUGUUUUUACUUGGGUGUUUUUGACCUUAGCACCAAUGAGUACAUGAAGCGGGUAUGGUAUGUAUUUCAAGUCCGAAAUACGAGGUAAGAUUUGUGAUCCCAAUUUUUUUGGUUACUUUGAUUAUACAAAUAUUAACUUUGUAUUUUGAUUGCUUGUAGGUUGAUUGGGUAUUAAAGUGAAGAUUUUUUAGAUUUUGAUAUCUAAUAAAUCUUGAGUGAUAAUGUUACUCGUUGGAAUUUCUCAGUUGAUAUUGAUGACUGAAUUAUAUCGACAUCUAGAAUUGAUAACCUGACUCAAAAACUAUUUGGGACUAUUUGAAGUAGACUAAUUUAAUUAAUCUUGCUCGUGGUCCGUUACCUCACUUCUUGGAUGGCUUAUAAGUGUUGGCCCAUUUAUUGAUUUACUUGGCCCUUGUAUUAGAUUGGACUUGGCCCACUCUUAUACCUAAUGCUACCUAUAUAUUGUGAGAGCUUUUUCUAUUUGUGCUAAUUUUAUAUCCUUUCAAUUUAUCUAUAGAAAAGUCUAUAUUGUCCUUAAUGAAACAAUUCUUCUUAUAUUACACAAUAUAUCCCAAUUUUUUUGAACUAUAUUUUAUUUUGAAUUUUUGAAUAUAAACUCAUUCUAGGAUCUAAUAAAUCGGAAUAAUUUACAACAUAUUGUUCAUAUUUUGUAUUUAAUAUAUCAUAUUCUUCAGAAGAUACAUCUAUAUUUUUUAAUUAAGAAAUAAUAUUUUUUAUUGCUUCAACAUUCUUUCUAAUAAAUUAUAUAAUCAUUCAAUUGUAUAUCUUGGCAUUUAAUGAUACAAAUAAUCCCUACGAUUCUCUAAGAUCUUAAAAAGAUUCAUUCAAAUUUUAGCAAAAAUUAAUAGUCUUACAUUAAUUCUAAUUUAAAUUUUUAUUCUUAGAACUGAGUAACCUUCGAGCUCUGAAUAUGUAAAUUGCCUCCUUCAAUGGCCUCUUGCCUUCACAAAAUUUUUACUAUUUCAACUUCUUGCUCUCAUUGUAUCAAUUCUAAAGAAUAAAUCUCUAGAUUUUGAUUAAAGAAAAACUCUCUUUUUGUUAAAAUAAGAAAGAAACUUUCUAUUAGAUCCUUCAAGAAUCUAUGGGAAUAAAGAUUUAGAAACUCAUGUUGUUAUCAAAAUAUUGAAAUUUUAUUUCUAUAAAAAUUUAUACAAGAUUUCAAUUUGGUACACAAGGAUUUCCAGAAAAAAAAUGGUUUUUCAAAUUGAGAAUGGCUUGAGAGUAGCUAUUGAUUACCACUCGAGAUUUCAAGAUAUCUCUAUCCUUUCCUCUGCCUCUAUUUAUACAUACAAAUGAAGCUCUUAUUACAUCAUUGCAUACAUCAGCUAUAUUACUCUUGCCUUUAUAUUAUUUUCUUUCUCGAGUCUACAUCUUCACAUGGAGCUUUUGCCUUUUAUAAAAGAAGCUCUAUUAUUGUCCUCUUUUCACAUGUAUCUUUAUUAAAGGAACUUUAUUAUUGUCCUCCUUCCUUUAUUUCUUCACAUGCAGUUGGGACAAUCUCUUAGCUGGCAGGAUUCUUUGAUAGUGGUAGGAUAUCCUGAAAAUUGAUGCAUGUCGAAUUUUAUAAUAUAAUCCUUUAAGAUCUCUGAUUUUUCAUAUCCUCUAUUUGAAACUAGCAUCCAUUUUUGAUAUUAACAUAGACAUGAGAAUUUUUUAUCACACAAAUUCUUAGCAAUAUUGUAUAUGGCUUGAUUCCAAGUGCUUUUCUAUGUCUGAUCCAUGACUUGGUCAUCUUCGGAACCUUUUUAUCAUUUUCUAUAAUAUCUAUUUGAAAAUUGACUGCGACAUAUUCAAUUGAGAUUAUGUGUUCAACUGGAUAAUAAAUGAUUCCAUCAUAUUCACGACUUAUUGAAUAAAAUUUCAAAUAUAUUUUUUGUCCAUGGGCAAAUCUUGAUACUUCUUUUAUGAAUAUGUCAUCAAAUUUCGAAAUUUCAAUCAAAUCUUUUUGUGGAUAUAUCAAAUCCAAAAAUUCAUAAUCUGUAAUUAUCUUUAUGAAUGAAGGGUCUCUUCCUUCCAUGGCUGUCACUCUAGGAUAAACAUUAUCUCUUGGAGAGAUGAAAUAUGAAUCAAUUAUUUUUAUUUCAUAAACGAUUCUGACUAUUUUGGCAUAUUCUUCUUCUUUUGGAUCUAAAGGGAUCAUAUCAUCUUGGUCUUGGUCUAUGAUACUGCUAGUUUUGGAAUCUUUUUUUUUAUCUCCAUAUAUUACCACUUUUUUAGUUAGUGUUGAAUCUCCUUUUUUAUCAAUUGGUAUGGUGUCACGUCUGGGUCCAUUGUUGCUUUCAGCUGUCCUUAUUUGGUAUUGAUUUGGAAAACUCAUUUCUGAAUUCUUUGGUAUACCUGUCUCAGACAGUAUAUUUUUUAGUUGUGCUGCAAUAGUAUCAACUUCAUUUUUGAGUUUUAUGACCUCUUUAUGAUCCUCAGUAGUGAUAUUCAACAAUAUUUUUAUAUUUGAAUUGAACAUCUCUGAGAUCCGUGUUGCUCCAGUAUUUAUGUCUUCAGAUUCAUCCGUAAGAAAAUCUGUCUUUUUUCUUAUAUGUAGAAUAAAUUGAUAUAAAUCCAUGACUCUGACUUUAUCCAUCAGCAAAUUUUAUGUUUUUACUGAGAAAAUCUGUAAGAAAAUUAUUAACUCCUUUAAUAUGAAUUAUAUCAAAAUUAUAAAAUACUAAAUAAGCUUGUCAUUUAUAGAGCAUUCUGUAUCGAUGUUCUGAUGGUAGUUUAUUCCUGACUAAUCCUGCAACUUGAGAAUUAUCAGUUUCAACAAUGAAUUUUUUAGAUAACAAAAAUAAUGAGAACUUUUUUAUUCCUCUAAUAAUUGCUAGUAACUUUUUUCAUGAGCAAUAUAAUUUAUUUCUACUUGGUUAAAAGUUCCACUUGAAUAUCUACAAAUCUCAUUUAAAAUUGUUUUUAAUAUUACCGUCCAAUAUUUAUCUGAGGCAUCAUUGUUAACAAUCAAAUUAUCUUUUCA
rnacentral:lncRNA from 1 species